AGAGUUUGAUCAUGGCUCAGAACGAACGCUGGCGGCGUGCCUAACACAUGCAAGUCGAACGGAAUUAAGGGGCUUGCUCCUUAAUUUAGUGGCGCACGGGUGAGUAACGCGUGGAUAACCUACCCUGGUAUCCGGGAUAACAUCUCGAAAGGGGUGCUAAUACGGGGUAAGCCCACGGGGUCUUCGGACCCUGCGGGAAAAGGUGGCCUCUAUUUAUAAGCUACCGUAUCAGGAUGGGUCCGCGUACCAUUAGCUAGUUGGUGGGGUAAAGGCCUACCAAGGCUACGAUGGUUAGCUGGUCUGAGAGGAUGAUCAGCCACACUGGAACUGAGACACGGUCCAGACUCCUACGGGAGGCAGCAGUGGGGAAUUUUGCGCAAUGGGGGAAACCCUGACGCAGCAACGCCGCGUGAGUGAUGAAGGCCUUCGGGUCGUAAAGCUCUGUCAGUGGGAAAGAAAUGUAUAGUGGUUAAUACCCAUUAUACUUGACGGUACCCACAAAGGAAGCACCGGCUAACUCCGUGCCAGCAGCCGCGGUAAUACGGAGGGUGCGAGCGUUGUUCGGAAUUAUUGGGCGUAAAGCGCGUGUAGGCGGCUCCUUAAGUCUGAUGUGAAAGCCCCGGGCUCAACCUGGGAAGUGCAUUGGAAACUGGGGAACUUGAAUACGGGAGAGGGUAGUGGAAUUCCUGGUGUAGGAGUGAAAUCCGUAGAUAUCAGGAGGAACACCGGUGGCGAAGGCGGCUACCUGGACCGAUAUUGACGCUGAGACGCGAAAGCGUGGGGAGCAAACAGGAUUAGAUACCCUAGUAGUCC
rnacentral:rRNA from 1 species